GGAAUUUUCCGCAAUGGGCGAAAGCCUGACGGAGCAACGCCGCGUGAGGGAUGAAGGCCUCUGGGCUGUAAACCUCUUUUAUCAAGGAAGAAGAUCUGACGGUACUUGAUGAAUAAGCCACGGCUAAUUCCGUGCCAGCAGCCGCGGUAAUACGGGAGUGGCAAGCGUUAUCCGGAAUUAUUGGGCGUAAAGCGUCCGCAGGCGGUCUUUUAAGUCUGUUGUUAAAGCGUGGAGCUUAACUCCAUUUCAGCAAUGGAAACUGGAAGACUAGAGUGUGGUAGGGGCAGAGGGAAUUCCCGGUGUAGCGGUGAAAUGCGUAGAUAUCGGGAAGAACACCAGUGGCGAAGGCGCUCUGCUGGGCCAUAACUGACGCUCAUGGACGAAAGCCAGGGGAGCGAAAGGGAUUAGAUACCCCUGUAGUC
rnacentral:rRNA from 1 species